CGCUACGGACUUGGAAAAUCCGUUGAAUUGAAAAAUCGUGAGGGUUCAAGUCCCUCUAUCCCCA
rnacentral:tRNA from 1 species